AGAGUUUGAUCAUGGCUCAGAACGAACGCUGGCGGCAUGGAUUAGGCAUGCAAGUCGAACGAAGUAGCAAUACUUAGUGGCGCAAGGGUGAGGAACGCGUGAGUGACCUACCCGCAAGUUUGGAACAGCUCCUGGAAACGGGAAUUAAUACCGGAUGUGAUCAAUGAGCUGCAUGGUUUAUUGAUUAAAGCAGUAAUGCGCUUGCGGAUGGGCUCGCGUCCCAUUAGCUAGUUGGUGAGGUAACGGCCCACCAAGGCCAUGAUGGGUAGCUGGUCUGAGAGGACGACCAGCCACACUGGGACUGAGAACUGCCCAGACUCCUACGGGAGGCUGCAGUCGAGAAUUUUGGGCAAUGGACGAAAGUCUGAACCCCCAGCAAUGCCGCGUGCGGGAUGAAGGUCUUCGGAUUGUAAACCGCUGUUUGGAGGGACGAAAAUUGACGGUACUUCCAGAGAAAGCCACGGCUAACUACGUGCCAGCAGCCGC
rnacentral:rRNA from 1 species